UAUAUAACACCUUUUUGUUAUAGGCAUGACCGACCAUAUAUCAAGUUGUCAAGGAAAUGAUUGAUAAAAUGGGUUAUGAGGUAAAACUUGUUAGGGUAAACAAAAGAAUUCAAGAAGCAUACUGUGCUGAACUUUAUUUAACAAAGGUCAAUGAUCCUACAGACAACAUCACCUUCGAUCUUCAGCCUUCAGAUGCCAUAAACAUUGUUGUUCGUUGCAAGGUAUUUUCUGUAUAUGCCUUGCUACAUGCUAAUUUUUUUAGUAAAUUGAUUUUUGUUAUCUCUACUAUUCCUUAAGUCUCUACCAUAGG